AGUAUUGUAACAAUCUAGCAGGUAUUUUCCAUUCAGUUUUCAGUCUAUCUGCUACGACUGGAUAUCGUUCGAUCGAUUGAACUCUAAACACAAUGAAUCAUAAAAAAGUUGUUGUGCUGCUGACGCUCAUGUUGGUGCUCCAAUUACAAGCGCAAGGGGAUUACAAGGCAACGAUUACGAAAAUGUGCAAAUCGGGAAAAAUGAAAGAAGUCGUUAACACGUGCCUUAAGGAUAAUUUGAAGAAUCCAGCUGACGAAAAAACCAUUUCCCAAAUGAUUGAUAAAAAGUACGUCACAUUUGAUCAAAUGUUGAAGGAUCUCUGUGGCACGUCCAGCCGAGCUUCAAAGAAUCUGGUAACGGUACUAUUUGAGCUUGUUACGACUCAAUACUCCAAAACCAAAACGAUGUUCAAAACGGAUCCAAAAGGAUGCUUCAUGAAAUACAUUUAAGUGCUUGAUUGGUACGGCCAAUACCUCUCGUUUGAUAUAUCACACGCCAUUCUUACCGAUAGCUCCAUGGAUAUAGUUGAAGAAGCACAAUUUGGGUACAAUCCAAAAUGGCAUUAUAAUUUUGUCUAGAACUUCACACCACAAACAUUUCUGCACACAUCUUUACAUCUUUUCCCUUUGACAAAAACUUAGACCAAUAAUCGAGGAAUGAAAUUAAAGUUUAAAAAUAUCACGAAGAAGAGAAACCAUAUUGGCCAGAUUCAAGACUAAUCGCACACGAACGUAAUUAUAAACUUUGCAAAAUAAAAGAAGGCUUGUUUUGUUCAUGCAACCCACAG